GUGGGCUCCAUUUCUUUUUUUCUCACAUGCUGUCUGCCUACUGCCCGUUAGUGUGUCUGUCCAUCCCCUUUUCUAUUUCAUCAUCUCUCACCCUCUGGCUCUUCCACUCUCUCGUUGUACAUUCAACCUACAGCUUUCCUUUGAAGGCGAGGUGGUCGUACACUACCGAGAUUCGGUUUGUUCGUAAGAUGCACAUCAAAUGUACUUUCCAAUCUGUCUUUGUUUGUGUACAUUCAGGCUUCUCUCUUCCUGACAUACAGUAUGUUUGUCACCCUCUCCCUACUGGUCUCUUUCUCCAUCUACAGGUAUAGCGCCAUGGUGAAUGCAGACAGAUGGGCAGGUGUGGGGAGAAAGCUGGCUCGCCUGAAUUUGACACACCAGUGUGACAGCGAGCAUCAUCCAGCUGGAGGCCUGCAGUGCCUCCUAGAAAGAGCAUGCCAGGUGGCCAAGACACAGGCUGCUGGUCUCCCGAAGCCACUACGCACACAACUCUCCAGUCAAUAUCCAACCAUUUCGAUACUCCACCAACAAACGCUGCAAAGGGUGGUUUCCGCCGAAGAAAUACAGAUAGCAGAAGCAGGGGAACUACAAAGUAAAUGCCCGAUAAAGAACGGCAUCCAUAAGAGACGACAACACAAUCCAAGAUGAAUGAACUAGACGAUCUCCACUCGCUCCUUCUGUAGCUGCUCAACAAUCGCACAUGCUCUGCAGAGGAUCCGAGAGAGAUCCUCAAUAUCUGUGAAAUAUACAUUUCCAUCUUCUUAGUGGUUGCAAAUAAAUUCUACGGCAGGAA